rfam:Parcubacteria (Magasanikbacteria) bacterium GW2011_GWA2_37_8 TS58_C0009, whole genome shotgun sequence.
ACGGGUAUUACUAGGCUACCAUAGACAGCAGGCGGCCACCUUGGCCUUAAUUACCUGCCGAGGUGCAAAGAAUUUAUUAAGGUCGAUUUGCGCUUUUAGGUCUGUGGAAAACACAGAUUUUUAUUUUAUAGA